rnacentral:rRNA from 1 species
CCCGCCUGCCCUGUGACCCAAAGUUUAACGGCCGCGGUAUUUUAACCGUGCAAAGGUAGCGCAAUCAAUUGUCUUUUAAAUGAAGACCUGUAUGAAUGGCAUCACGAGGGUUUAGCUGUCUCUUUUCCCCAGUCAGUGAAACUGAUCUGCCCGUGCAGAAGCGGGCAUACCCCUACAAGACGAGAAGACCCUAUGGAGCUUUAGGCGCCCGCUAACCGCAAAUAGCGGCCACACCCCUAAUUAUCGCGGUUCUAUGCAAAGCGCCUUCGGUUGGGGCGACCACGGGAGAUAGCAAAGCUCCCGAGAGGAAAGGGCUUUUAGCCUGAAGCUCAGAGAGACAUCUCUAGGCCGCAGAACAUCUGACCUUGAAUGAUCCGGCUACUGCCGAUCAACGGACCAAGUUACCCUAGGGAUAACAGCGCAAUCCCCUCCCAGAGUCCAUAUCGACGAGGGGGUUUACGACCUCGAUGUUGGAUCAGGACAUCCUAAUGGUGCAGACGCU